CCUACGGGAGGCAGCAGUGGGGAAUAUUGCACAAUGGGCGAAAGCCUGAUGCAGCAACGCCGCGUGAGCGAUGAAGGCCUUCGGGUCGUAAAGCUCUGUCCUCAAGGAAGAUAAUGACGGUACUGGAGGAGGAAGCCCCGGCUAACUACGUGCCAGCAGCCGCGGUAAUACGUAGUGGGCUAGCGUUAUCCGGAAUUACUGGGCGUAAGGGGUGCGUAGGUGGUUUCUUAAGUCAGAGGUGAAAGGCUACGGCUCAACCGUAGUAAGCCUUUGACACUGGGGAACUUGAGGGCAGGAGAGGAGAGUGGAAUUCAUGGUGUAGCGGUGAAAUGCGUAGAUAUUAGGAGGAACACCAGUUGCGAAGGCGGCUCUCUGGACUGUAACUGACACUGAGGCACGAAAGCGUGGGGAGCAAACAGGAUUAGAUACCCUGGUAGUC
rnacentral:rRNA from 1 species